CCUACGGGAGCCAGCAGUGAGGAAUAUUGGUCAAUGGGCGAGAGCCUGAACCAGCCAAGUCGCGUGAGGGAGUACUGCCCUAUGGGUUGUAAACCUCUUUUGUCGGGGAGCAAAAGCCGGACGUGUCCGGCUGUGAGAGUACCCGAAGAAAAAGCAUCGGCUAACUCCGUGCCAGCAGCCGCGGUAAUACGGAGGAUGCGAGCGUUAUCCGGAUUUAUUGGGUUUAAAGGGUGCGCAGGCGGAUUUUUAAGUCAGCGGUAAAAUCGUGGGGCUCAACCCCAUCCAGCCGUUGAAACUGGGGAUCUAGAGUGUGCGAGAGGUAUGCGGAAUGCGUGGUGUAGCGGUGAAAUGCAUAGAUAUCACGCAGAACCCCGAUUGCGAAGGCAGCAUACCGGUGCACAACUGACGCUCAGGCACGAAAGCGUGGGUAUCGAACAGGAUUAGAUACCCUAGUAGUC
rnacentral:rRNA from 1 species